UUUCUUAAGCUUUAUUUAAGAAAUCGAAUACUAUUAUAGUUCAAUAUAUAUAAGACACAUCCAGUAUUGUGUUCCUGAUAGCAAGUGCAUAGAUUUUGUUAAGAUAUCAUUUUUCUAUUUUAAUUUUUUUUUUAUUUGUUACUCAGUAGCAUGUUUCAUGAUCACACGAAGGGAUAUUCCCAGUGAUUUUGCUAAGAGCAUGAGAGAAAAAACAGAACACAGCAAAGUAGUGAAACUACAACAGAGAUGAGGAACAAAAACAAUCAGGCAAACUAUCAGUACAGUCGAUUCCUGAUAAGUGAAUAAUCUGAUUGCUUGGUCACAAUGCUUUAUUCACUUAUCAGGAAUGAUUCACACUACAUUUUGAUAAACUGUUUUCCUUAGCCUAAUACCUAAGAGUCACACUGGGCAAAGGCACACACACUCUGGCAGGCUAUUCUUUAAUCAGCAAGUCUUGUGACAGUUUGGUAAUUUCCCAUGGCGAUACACAUAUAGCUAACAAAGAGACAUUUUGCUAACACUGCAAGGUGCCUUACAUAAUUGAAAUUAAAAGCAUGCAUUUAAGCAGGACAAACUGUUCAGCUGCAUUGCUUUAAGGAACUCAUUUUUUCCCAUUGUUGAAAUAAAAAAAAAAGAAGAAAAAAAAGAAAACCCUGUAUCUUUCAGCCCUGAGUAUUAAAAGAAACCCAACUGCAGCAUAAGUCUUUUUUUCAGUUGUAUUUUUGGAAGAAAAGACCCUUCACAAAGCUCUAGUUUCUUUCCUAAGACCAAGUUUUGAGAAAUAAGAAAAAAGAAAACAGAAAACAUCCACAGCAACCUAAAACCCCAAGAGACCAAUUCUGAUUCACCAUUCAUGCAAGUCGAGACUUACUUAACUGAAUCCACUGGUGUCAAAAUUAUCCAAAUCGGGAUCAUAAACUCUAUAGGUGCCAAAGACCCAGAAUAUAGUCUGACCAUUGGCUUUCCUGCCUGGGCUGUCCACUACAGGCUCCUGUGGCUUUACAUUAAGCCCUGACCUCUGACAACAGACCCUGCAAGAGGACGCUUGAGCUUGUUUGGGACUUCAGACUCAUCAGUUACUUGCCUUUCAUGGAAACAGAAAAGGACAAAAGUGGGAAAAAAGAAGUUGUAAUAAAAAUAUAUUGAUCAAUGACAAUCAGGCCAACUCAUGAGCCACCCGAAAAUGUCAAAACCCUUCCAAAUGCAGGAGCCAACGUCGCUGCUGACACCACACGGAAACACUCAGUGCGCCAUGGACGUUACUUGAGAGGGGGCUGUGUGUGUGUGUUUGUGUGUGUGAGCCAAAGCCAGAGUGCCAGAAAGACCAAGGGAGAGGAGACAAGAGGGAGGAGUGUUGUUUGGGUCUCAUAAGAGCACUUUUAAGUGGUCUUCGAUUCCUGAGCAUCACAGAAAGCGGGACAAAGGAAAGGGACAGGGGCGUAUGGCUUGAAUUCCAGAGAGCACUCGUCAGUGCUUCUCUCUCCUCCUUGGGUUUGGUUUGGUUAGUUUUGUUUUUCCCCCCCCUCUCCAAAUUGUAAGGUUUGUAUCUGUGAUCAGAGGAGAGAAGAGAGACUUUUUGUAAACCAGAACAACAUAGAUUUUUUUCGUUUGCAGCUUUUAUUUCAUCGUGAUAGACACCGGUUGGGGAGAGCAGAGAGAUUCUUGUGAGCAGGAAAAAAAUAUAGGAAAUGAAAGAAUAAAAAAAGCUAAAAGCCAACUGUAAAAAAUAAUGAGAAAAGAAGUGCUAUGGUAUUUCUUUUGUCCCUUUUGAGAUUUGUGUAAUACUAUUAGCCAAUGCUGAGAAUGAUCUGCUUUGUAAGCCCACAGCAAAAAUAUCACGCUUUUGAACAACUGGGGAUUUUUUUUCCCCAUCAUUUAUUUUUCUUUUUUUUUCUUAACUUGCACUGGCUUUAAUAGAAAGUCUUCCUGUGCUCACUUGGAUUUGAUUUUGUUUUUGUCAUUAUUAGCUGUAUAACUGCACAUAACAAGCUCCAUCACCUGGUAGGCUUCUGCAGGCUCUCACAGCCCUAGUUAAGAUGUGAUUAGUUUGACUAAUUGAUUAGGAGAGUUUGACUAACACCAUAUGCCAUCAUCAGAUUACUGUGCAGUUUGGAAGAAAUCCCAAGGCUAUAUCCUCCUUUUCCUGAAUGUUUCAUGUGCUUCUGCGAAGUAGUGGCAGAGUAUUAUUAUUUUCUUUUAACAACUAGGAAGAAUUUAUCUCCAUAAUCCACAUUUUGCUGACUGACCAAAAUGUCAGAGCAAGGGAAAAAAUAUCUUUUCAGGUGGCUUCUGUGUGUUUGUGUGCAGAAGCUUUUGCAGUUUGAGGGCUAACAAAAGCUACCUUCAAUAUGACUUUGCAGGAAGCUCAUUUAAAAUGCUUCCUGCUCAGAUGGAUUAUCCAAGUGAUAAGGCAUGACUAGAGGGAGGAAGAGAGAAGCAAAAUAAAAAUCAAAGGAAGCGUAACAUGUCUAAAAUGUACAAAUCCUCUUUUGCCCCCCAA
ensembl:lncRNA